rnacentral:pre_miRNA from 1 species
AAUAAGUGCAGCCGUAGAUAUCCGUGCCCAACAUUUGACCGUCCGUCUUAUUUGAAAAAUUUAAAAAUAUUUAGUCACACAUAAAGUACUAUUCAUUUUUUAUCAUCUAAUAGCAAUAAAAAUACUAAUCAUAAAAAAUUUUUAAAUAAGACGAACAGUCAAACGUUGAACGUGAAUAGUGCAAAACUGCACUUAUU